GAUGAACGCUGGCGGCGUGCCUAACACAUGCAAGUCGAGCGAUCUUCUUCGGAAGAGAGCGGCGGACGGGUGAGUAACGCGUGGGUAACCUGCCUCAUACACAUGGAUAACAUACCGAAAGGUAUGCUAAUACAAGAUGAUAUAAGAGAUUCGCAUGGAUUUCUUAUCAAAGCUUUUGCGGUAUGAGAUGGACCCGCGUCUGAUUAGCUAGUUGGUAAGGUAAUGGCUUACCAAGGCGACGAUCAGUAGCCGACCUGAGAGGGUGAUCGGCCACAUUGGAACUGAGACACGGUCCAAACUCCUACGGGAGCUG
rnacentral:rRNA from 1 species